rnacentral:sRNA from 1 species
CAGAGGAUCUCCUCGCUGGCCUACUCUCUCCUCCCGUACGGCGCCGGAAUCCCAGCUCCACUUACCAGGCCGCGGCUACCCUGCCGUCCCCCCCGACUCCCGCCACCCCGCUCUCCCAGGCUCUUCAGGAUCCAAGUCUGUAGGCCCUUUAAGGGGUCUAAUUGCCGUUUGCGGGGCCCUGGGACUUUGAUCCCAGACAGCGAGGAUCCGGAUGGCUUCCGUGCGGAUCCGAGAGGCCAAGGAGGGAGACUGUGGAGAUAUCCUGAGGCUGAUUCGGGUGAAGACUGCGGGCCGGAAACCCGGGGGUCAGAGUGGCGCGGCCAGAGCGGGGUCGUAGGAGGCGGGGGCAGGGGGAGGGGCUCGCCUUGGGAACCUGCUCCGGGAGCAGCGGGGCCCUUCUGCUCUAAUCUAGCUUCCGUACCCACGCCUUAGGAGCUAGCCGAAUUCGAAAAACUCUCGGAUCAGGUGAAGAUCAGUGAAGAAGGUGGGGGCUCAGCGCCCAGGUUCUGGCGGAGGCUGGGGAGGAAAUGAGGGAUGGGUUCCCCAGGCGACAGCUCCAGGCUGGGCAUACACCCACGUCCUCUUUCUCUAUAUCUUUGUCACAACUCCAAUCUCGGCAGCCCUGAGAGCAGAUGGCUUUGGAGACAAUCCUUUCUAUCACUGUUUGGUAGCAGAGAUUCUUCCAGCGCCCGGGAAGCUACUGGGGCCCUGCGUGGUGGGCUAUGGGAUAUACUAUUUCAUCUACAGUACAUGGAAGGGACGCACCAUUUAUCUGGAGGAUGUCUAUGUGAUGCCGGAAUAUC